rnacentral:rRNA from 1 species
UACGUAGGGCGCAAGCGUUGUUCGGAAUUAUUGGGCGUAAAGAGCUCGUAGGCGGUUUGUCGCGUCUGCUGUGAAAACUCGAGGCUCAACCUCGGGCUUGCAGUGGGUACGGGCAGACUAGAGUGCGGUAGGGGAGACUGGAAUUCCUGGUGUAGCGGUGGAAUGCGCAGAUAUCAGGAGGAACACCGAUGGCGAAGGCAGGUCUCUGGGCCGCAACUGACGCUGAGGAGCGAAAGCAUGGGGAGCGAACAGG